rnacentral:rRNA from 1 species
UACGUAGGGUGCAAGCGUUAAUCGGAAUUACUGGGCGUAAAGCGUGCGCAGGCGGUUAUGUAAGUCAGAUGUGAAAUGCCCGGGCUUAACCUGGGAACUGCAUUUGUGACUGCAUGGCUAGAGUUUGGCAGAGGGGCGUGGAAUUCCGGGUGGAGCGGUGAAAUGCGUAGAGAUCCGGAGGAACACCGACGGCGAAGGCAGCGCCCUGGCCGCCAUCUGACGCUCAGGCACGAAAGCUGGGGGAGCGAACAGG